GCAGAUCCAUUUUCUGCCACCGAAUACAUUAGCAUGGGAUAAUGGAAUAGGACCCUGUCCUCCUAUUUUCAGUUGGUUUUGGCAGCGCGAGGACUAGGGUAAUGAUUAAUAGGGAUAGUUGGGGGCAUUAAUAUUUAAUUGUCAGAGGUGAAAUUCUUGGAUUUAUGAAAGAUUAACUUCUGCGAAAGCAUCUGCCAAGGAUGUUUUCAUUAAUCAAGAACGAAAGUUAGGGGAUCGAAGACGAUCAGAUACCGUCGUAGUCUUAACCAUAAACGAUGCCGACCAGCGAUUAGGAGACGUUGAAUACAAAACACCACCAUCGGUUGCGGCCGUCCUUGGCGUCUCGGUUUCGGCCGGGGCGCGGGGAUGGCUUAGCCCGGUGGCACCGGGGAAUGACUCCCCUAGCAGCUUGUGAAA
rnacentral:rRNA from 1 species